GACGAACGCUGGCGGCGCGCCUAACACAUGCAAGUCGAACGAGCGAGAGAGAGCUUGCUUUCUCAAGCGAGUGGCGAACGGGUGAGUAACGCGUGAGGAACCUGCCUCAAAGAGGGGGACAACAGUUGGAAACGACUGCUAAUACCGCAUAAGCCCACGGCUCGGCAUCGAGCAGAGGGAAAAGGAGCAAUCCGCUUUGAGAUGGCCUCGCGUCCGAUUAGCUAGUUGGUGAGGUAACGGCCCACUAAGGCGACGAUCGGUAGCCGGACUGAGAGGUUGAACGGCCACAUUGGGACUGAGACACGGCCCAGACUCCUACGGGAGGCAGCAGUGGGGAAUAUUGCACAAUGGGGGAAACCCUGAUGCAGCGACGCCGCGUGGAGGAAGAAGGUCUUCGGAUUGUAAACUCCUGUUGUUGAGGAAGAUAAUGACGGUACUCAACAAGGAAGUGACGGCUAACUACGUGCCAGCAGCCGCGGUAAAACGUAGGUCACAAGCGUUGUCCGGAAUUACUGGGUGUAAAGGGAGCGCAGGCGGGAAGACAAGUUGGAAGUGAAAUCCAUGGGCUCAACCCAUGAACUGCUUUCAAAACUGUUUUUCUUGAGUAGUGCAGAGGUAGGCGGAAUUCCCGGUGUAGCGGUGGAAUGCGUAGAUAUCGGGAGGAACACCAGUGGCGAAGGCGGCCUACUGGGCACCAACUGACGCUGAGGCUCGAAAGUGUGGGUAGCAAACAGGAUUAGAUACCCUGGUAGUCCACACUGUAAACGAUGAUUACUAGGUGUUGGAGGAUUGACCCCUUCAGUGCCGCAGUUAACACAAUAAGUAAUCCACCUGGGGAGUACGACCGCAAGGUUGAAACUCAAAGGAAUUGACGGGGGCCCGCACAAGCAGUGGAGUAUGUGGUUUAAUUCGACGCAACGCGAAGAACCUUACCAAGUCUUGACAUCCUGCGACGGUGCUGGAAACAGUACUUUCCUUCGGGACGCAGAGACAGGUGGUGCAUGGUUGUCGUCAGCUCGUGUCGUGAGAUGUUGGGUUAAGUCCCGCAACGAGCGCAACCCUUAUGGUCAGUUACUACGCAAGAGGACUCUGGCCAGACUGCCGUUGACAAAACGGACGAAGGUGGGGAGGACGUCAAAUCAUCAUGCCCCUUAUGACUUGGGCUACACACGUACUACAAUGGCGUUAAACAAAGAGAAGCAAGACCGCGAGGUGGAGCAAAACUCAGAAACAACGUCCCAGUUCGGACUGCAGGCUGCAACUCGCCUGCACGAAGUCGGAAUUGCUAGUAAUCGCAGAUCAGCAUGCUGCGGUGAAUAAGAUCCCGGGCCUUGUAC
rnacentral:rRNA from 1 species